CAGUCGCCGCGGUAAUACAGAGGGUGCGAGCGUUAAUCGGAUUUACUGGGCGUAAAGCGUGCGUAGGCGGCUUUUUAAGUCGGAUGUGAAAUCCCCGAGCUUAACUUGGGAAUUGCAUUCGAUACUGGGAAGCUAGAGUAUGGGAGAGGAUGGUAGAAUUCCAGGUGUAGCGGUGAAAUGCGUAGAGAUCUGGAGGAAUACCGAUGGCGAAGGCAGCCAUCUGGCCUAAUACUGACGCUGAGGUACGAAAACAUGGGGAGCAAACAGGAUUAGAUACCCGUGUAGUCCCUGUCUCUUAUAC
rnacentral:rRNA from 1 species